rnacentral:sRNA from 1 species
GGAUCUGGAGGUGGAAAGGCCAAGAAGAAGAAGUGGUCGAAGGGAAAGGUCAGGGAUAAGCUUAACAACAUGGUGCUUUUCGACCAGGCCACCUACGACAAGCUCUACAAGGAGG